rnacentral:rRNA from 1 species
CUCGUAGGGCGCAAGCGUUGUCCGGAAUUAUUGGGCGUAAAGAGCUCGUAGGCGGUCUGUUGCGUCCGCUGUGAAAACUCGGGGCUUAACCCCGAGCCUGCAGUGGAUACGGGCAGACUAGAGGUAGGUAGGGGAGAAUGGAAUUCCCGGUGUAGCGGUGAAAUGCGCAGAUAUCGGGAGGAACACCGGUGGCGAAGGCGGUUCUCUGGGCCUUACCUGACGCUGAGGAGCGAAAGCGUGGGGAGCGAACAGG